rnacentral:rRNA from 1 species
UACGAAGGGGGCUAGCGUUGUUCGGAAUUACUGGGCGUAAAGCGCGCGCAGGCGGUUCGAUAAGUUGGGGGUGAAAUCCCCGGGCUCAACCCGGGAAUGGCCUUCAAGACUGUCGAGCUAGAGGACGAGAGAGGUGAGUGGAAUUCCCAGUGUAGAGGUGAAAUUCGUAGAUAUUGGGAAGAACACCGGUGGGCGAAGGCGGCACACUGGCUCGUUUCUGACGCUGGAGACGCGAAAGCGU